CAGUCGCCGCGGUAAAACGAGGGGGGCGAGCGUUGUUCGGAAUUAUUGGGCGUAAAGGGUGCGUAGGCGGUUUGGUAAGUCUCAUGUGAAAUCCCCGGGCUUAACCUGGGAACUGCAUUUGAAACUGUCAGGCUGGAGUCUUGUAGAGGGGGGUGGAAUUCCAGGUGUAGCGGUGAAAUGCGUAGAGAUCUGAAGGAAUACCGGUGGCGAAGGCGGCCCCCUGGACAAAGACUGACGCUCAGGUGCGAAAGCGUGGGGAGCAAACAGGAUUAGAUACCCCUGUAGUCCCUGUCUCUUAUAC
rnacentral:rRNA from 1 species